rnacentral:rRNA from 1 species
AACGUAGGAGACAAACGUUAUCCGGAAUCACUGGGCGUAAAGCGUCUGUAGGUGGUUUAAUAAGUCAACUGUUAAAUCUUGAGGCUCAACCUCAAAAUCGCAGUCGAAACUAUUAGGCUAGAGUAUAGUAGGGGUAAAGGGAAUUUCCAGUGGAGCGGUGAAAUGCGUAGAGAUUGGAAAGAACACCGAUGGCGAAGGCACUUUACUGGGCUAUUACUAACACUCAGAGACGAAAGCUAGGGUAGCAAAUGGG